rnacentral:rRNA from 1 species
GACGAACGCUGGCGGCGUGCCUAAUACAUGCAAGUUGAGCGCUGAAGGUUGGUACUUGUACCAACUGGAUGAGCAGCGAACGGGUGAGUAACGCGUGGGGAAUCUGCCUUUGAGCGGGGGACAACAUUUGGAAACGAAUGCUAAUACCGCAUAAAAACUUUAAACACAAGUUUUAAGUUUGAAGGAUGCAAUUGCAUCACUCAAAGAUGAUCCCGCGUUGUAUUAGCUAGUUGGUGAGGUAAAGGCUCACCAAGGCGAUGAUACAUAGCCGACCUGAGAGGGUGAUCGGCCACAUUGGGACUGAGACACGGCCCAAACUCCUACGGGAGGCAGCAGUAGGGAAUCUUCGGCAAUGGACGAAAGUCUGACCGAGCAACGCCGCGUGAGUGAAGAAGGUUGUCGGAUCGUAAAACUCUGUUGGUAGAGAAGAACGUUGGUGAGAGUGGAAAGCUCAUCAAGUGACGGUAACUACCCAGAAAGGGACGGCUAACUACGUG